rnacentral:rRNA from 1 species
AUGGUGAGUAGUGUUGGUCAUUGCAAUGAUGAUAGUGUGCUUGUUCCUGGUGAUCCUUCAUCAUUAUCUUAUUGCAAUGGUCUUUCUUUGGACUUUAACACUUCAAGCACCUUACAUGUUUCACAUGCUCGUGUUGAUAGUCCUUGCAUAUCAUGUAGAAAUUGCUUGCUCAAAUUUCAUGAUGAUAUGCUUGCUAUGUCUUGUUGCCAUGAUAAAAAUGUAUAUAUUUCCUCGAGUUGUUGUGCUAACAAUGUAAAGGAAACUCAACACUACAUGGAACAAUAUGUGGUCUUAAAUGGUGCUUCAAGGGAUCCUACAUCAUCAUCUAUUGCUUUACGCCUUAUGGCUAGGGCCUCAAAGGUAUCUCCUACUUUGAAACCCAAUAUGUCUCCUAAUGAUGAUGAUGAUGAGGAUAAUGAUGAAGAGAAUGAUAGUGUUGCCUCCUUAAAAAUUAAGGGGGAAAUGGUUUUUAAAACUCUUCAUAAAAAUAAAAUUGCUCGUUGCAACUUCAUGGGAAUCAUGUCCAUUGCCAUUGAGGGCAAGAAUUAUAUUGAGGAGUUGGAAUCUCAUGUUGAGGAGCAUGAGGUCACCAUUGAGAAAAUGGAAGGUCACGAGCAUGAUUAUGCUAAUGAGAUUGCGGACAUCUCUCAAGCUCUUGAAGUUGAACAAACCACCAAAGAAUCUCUUGAGGAGAAUUUUGCUCUAGAACUAUCAAGAGUGAAUGAAUCUCGUGAUAGAGCUCUUGAGGUGGCCAAUGAUUUUGAAACUAAAAAUGAGAAGCUUGAAGUUGCGCAUGCUAAACUCCUUGAGGACUUUGGGAACCUCGAAAAUAGCUGA